ACAAUUAAAGAAAACACGAAUAUAUAUAUUACUGAAAUCAUGUCAAAAGAGUACAAGAGUAAGAAAAUACAACUUGACGAAAUCUCUCGAACUUGGACUGAAUCCCUUCAAUCUUUGCUCAAGUUAUCUCCCAAAGCUUUCUCUAUCUCUCAAUACACUCUCUUCGAUAUCUAAUAAUAAUAAAACCCUAAUAAUAAUAAUGUUUUAAUGGUUUCCUCGAAAAACAAUUCCGAUUUCCUAAAACAAGUUGGAUUCUGAGACAAAAUUCGUGGGCUGACUUUCAGGCCUGAUUCUGGGCUGAUCCUUUUGUCUUUAGAUAGCUGGACCACUUUAAACUUGUAGACAAUUAAGAUAUCUUCGCGUGGGCUGUUGAAUCGUCUAAUUCUGACGUCCGGAACUCAAGUUAUGGCCCAAACAAGAUUUGCUGCGCAGGUAGCCCAUAAAGUCCGAAUUUCCAUCAAAUACAAGCCCAAAUAAGCUAGUUUCAUCCAACUUAGGAAUAUUUAUUUUCCUGCCAUUAAACACUUAAAAUCAAUUAGUAAUUACCCGAUUAUUUACAAAAUACUACAAUUAUGGGAAUAAAAUCAUAUAAAAGCAUAUAUAAAUAUAUGCUCUAUCAAAUAUCCCCACACUUAGUGUUUUGCACGUCCUCGGGCAAAUAAAAUAAACUUAAGCUAACACCUAAUAGAUAUAUACCACUUCCGUAGGUGAUCACGGUUGCAUUUGGCAUAUGCAACAAGCCCUUUAAACCCCUAGGCAGCCCUAGUGGACGAGUAAGGUCUCGUGAGGGCCUAUAGUGAAUGUACCCACAAAAUUCAUUUUUUUUCUGCCAAGUCUUAAGAAUGCAACUAAUAUGAAUGCAAACUAAAUGAAUAUGCAUAGAUCCCAAUCAUGAAAUUAUCAACCUUGUCAACGUAUAAUCCUCAGAA
rnacentral:lncRNA from 1 species